rnacentral:tRNA from 1 species
CCAGGUGUAGCUCAAUGGCAGAGCUCUUGCCUACUAUGCACAAAGCCCUGGGUUUGAGUCCCAGUAUUGUGA